UUUUCAAGACUGCAGGCUAGUGCCUGAGGGGACCGUGACACUCAGUGUGGCUGAGACUCAGGAGAAACCACAGCAGGAACACAUGACUUUCCAUGCUGGUUCAUUCAGCUAUCAUGGUCCCGGAGGAGGACCUCACAGGGAGGCCACUCAGUCCUGGGAGGGUCUCCCUACCUGGUCUGCUCCAUACUGCAUCUGUCUUCCCUGCAUUUGCAGUCUGGACACCUGCCUGUGUGUCUCUAACAUCCCUCCUCCUGUGGCACCUGUUGCAUUCUCUUUUGAAUCUCCUCUUCAUCCAGUGAUUAGCAGCAGCUGGUCCUGGCUUUGCUGCAGCAAAUUUAGUUAAUAAGUGAAUGCAUGCAGGUGUCAGUCAAUAAGUGAAUGCCUGCAGGUGUCAGUCAAUAAGUGAAUGCAUGCAGCUGUCAGUCAGUAAGUGAAUGCAUGCAGGUGUCAGUUAAUAAGUGAAUGCAUGCAGCUGUCAGUCAAUAAGUGAAUGCAUGCAGGUGUCAGUUAAUAAGUGAAUGCAUGCAGGUGUCAGUUAAUAAGUGAAUGCAUGCAGCUGUCAGUCAAUAAGUGAAUGCAUGCAGCUGUCAGUCAAUAAGUGAAUGCAUGCAGGUGUCAGUUAAUAAGUGAAUGCAUGCAGCUGUCAGUCAAUAAGUGAAUGCAUGCAGGUGUCAGUCAAUAAGUGAAUGCAUGCAGCUGUCAGUCAAUAAGUGAAUGCAUGCAGGUGUCAGUCAGUAAGUGAAUGCAUGCAGGUGUCAGUGAGUGGAUGCUCUCAGCAGCCUGUGCCUGACCUGACUCGAGGCUGCUGCU